CUCUUCGGAGUUAGUGGCGGACGGGUGAGUAACACGUGGGAACGUGCCUUUUGGUUCGGAAUAACUCAGGGAAACUUGUGCUAAUACCGAAUGUGCCCUUCGGGGGAAAGAUUUAUCGCCAUUAGAGCGGCCCGCGUCUGAUUAGCUAGUUGGUGAGGUAACGGCUCACCAAGGCGACGAUCAGUAGCUGGUCUGAGAGGAUGACCAGCCACACUGGGACUGAGACACGGCCCAGACUCCUACGGGAGGCAGCAGUGGGGAAUCUUGCGCAAUGGGCGAAAGCCUGACGCAGCCAUGCCGCGUGAAUGAUGAAGGUCUUAGGAUUGUAAAAUUCUUUCACCGGGGACGAUAAUGACGGUACCCGGAGAAGAAGCCCCGGCUAACUUCGUGCCAGCAGCCGCGGUAAUACGAAGGGGGCUAGCGUUGCUCGGAAUUACUGGGCGUAAAGGGCGCGUAGGCGGAUCGUUAAGUCAGGGGUGAAAUCCCGGGGCUCAACCUCGGAACUGCCCUUGAUACUGGCGAUCUUGAGUAUGAGAGAGGUAUGUGGAACUCCGAGUGUAGAGGUGAAAUUCGUAGAUAUUCGGAAGAACACCAGUGGCG
rnacentral:rRNA from 1 species